AGCAGCCGCGGUAAUUCCAGCUCCAAUAGCGUAUAUUAAAGUUGUUGCAGUUAAAAAGCUCGUAGUUGAAUUUCGGGGUUUAUCUAUUGGUCGGGCUUUACGGUCCGUACUGGUGUGAUGGAUUCCUACCUUCUGAAUAACCUUCAUGCCAUUAAUUUGGUGCGUUGGGGAAGCAGAGCUGUUACCUUGAAAAAAUUAGAAUGCUUAAAGCAGGCAAGUGCCUGAAUACAUUAGCAUGGAAUAAUGAAAUAGGAUGGCAUGGUUCUAUUUUGUUGGUUUCUAGGAUCACCGUAAUGAUUAAUAGGGAUAGUUGGGGCAUUAGUAUUCAAUUGUCAGAGGUGAAAUUCUUGGAUUUAUUGAAGACUAACUUCUGCGAAAGCAUUUGCCAAGGAUGUUUUCAUUAAUCAAGAACGAAAGUUAGGGGAUCGAAGACGAUCAGAUACCGUCGUAGUCUUAACCAUAAACUAUGCCGACUAGGGAUCGGACGAUGUUAAUUUUUUAAUGACUCGUUCGGCGCCUUACG
rnacentral:rRNA from 1 species